UUUUAACAAUGGAUUUCUUGGCUCUCGUAACGAUGAAGAACGCAGCGAAAUGCGAUACGUAAUGUGAAUUGCAGACCUCAGUGAAUCAUCGAAUCUUUGAACGCAUAUUGCGCUCUUGGGUAUUCCCGAGAGUAUGUUUGUUUGAGUGUC
rnacentral:rRNA from 1 species